rnacentral:rRNA from 1 species
GAUGAACGCUAGCGGCAGGCUUAAUACAUGCAAGUCGAGGGGCAGCAUGAUUGUAGCAAUACAAUUGAUGGCGACCGGCAAACGGGUGCGGAACACGUACACAACCUUCCAACAAGUGGGGGAUAGCCCAGAGAAAUUUGGAUUAAUACCCCGUAACAUAGCGAUGUGGCAUCACAUUGCUAUUAUAGAUUUUUCGCUUGUUGAUGGGUGUGCGGCUGAUUAGAUAGUUGGCGGGGUAACGGCCCACCAAGUCUACGAUCAGUAGCUGAUGUGAGAGCAUGAUCAGCCACACGGGCAAUGAGACACGGGCCCGACUCCUACGGGAGGCAGCAGUAAGGAAUAUUGGACAAUGGACGCAAGUCUGAUCCAGCCAUGCCGCGUGAAGGAUUAAGGUCCUCUGGAUUGUAAACUUCUUUUAUAAGGGACGAAAAAAGGCUUUUCUAGGUCGUCUGACGGUACCUUAUGAAUAAGCACCGGCUAACUCCGUGCCAGCCGCCGCCGUAACAC